GCUACCGUGGUGGAAUUGGCAGACACCGGAGACUUAAAAUCUCCUAUUGGUGACAAUGUGCCCGUUCGAAUCGGGUCGGUAGCA
rnacentral:tRNA from 1 species